AGAAAGCCCUGGCCGAUGCUCGGCAGGAAGCCCGGCAGAAAGCAGGAGAGUGUCAACAUCUGCGGACCUGCCUGGACUCCCAGGAAAAACAGAUACAACAGCUGCAGGGGAGUCUGACCGCCUUCUCCACAGGGCAGGAGGAUGCCGAGAGGG